rnacentral:tRNA from 1 species
AAGAUUUUAAGUUAAAAAAACUAAUAGCCUUCAAAGCUUUCAUUAAAAUAAGAAUUUUUAAAUCUUG